ensembl:lncRNA
AGGGGAAAGUGCUUGAGGAACCAUUGGCCCAACCAUCUCCAGCGACAGUAUACACUCCAUUGAAGAAUGGCUGGUGAUAGGUCACUGUUGUCUAGAAGCUUGUCUGGUCACAUGCCUGGCUCAUGCGUCAUGGGUCGCGAACCAAUAAACAGCAAGGGGUGUCAUUACUGUCAUAUGCAAAUGCAACUGAAACAUUGCCGUUCUGUGCUUAUACUAUUGUUACGUUUCAACAGUGUUGGGCAAUCAACAGAGUGCCCGAUUUGCGGGAAGUUCAUGUCCCACCUGAGGCAACACCUGACGGCACGUCAUAAAGUAGGAAACUUUGCGGAGAAAUGUCUGCUCAUGAACUGGUCCAGUGGACGAGGUAAACUGAGCUGCCGUGUUUGUGACAAGGUGGGCCUGUCCCGCCUGGACAAACACCUGGUGGACCUCCACCAACUUCCUCCAAAUGAGGUCGAAGAGCAGAUGCUACUGCAGCUUGUUGUGGUGAAGCUUGGGGAGCUGAGGCAACAAGGCCCACUUGCUCGAUGGUGUCUUGGUUGGAUCUACCCCGCUCAACCCCCAAGCGCUCUCCAUUGGCCCCUCCCCCACCUUCCCCAGGACCAGUUGCCACUGGAUUCCUGGCUUCCUCCCCAUCCACACCUGCCAUCCAUCCAGUCUACUCCUGCAUGUCAUGCAGUGCACUGGAGAAGAGAGUGGAAGGGUUGGAGCUAUUAGUAGGUAAUCUGCCACGGUGUCCCUGCAGCUUGAUAACAGCACAGGCCACCUCUUCAGCCACCCUUGCCAGCCCCAGCCCUGGAAACACACACAGCCAUGACACGGAGACCCCGGCCACACCAAGGUCACCCGUGUGCGCAGUGACACUGAGCACACAGCCCGAACCCGCCGUACCCUUUUCAAUGCAAUUGUUCUUGCAAGAGGACCUCCACAGUUUGUUCUAUGACCAAACCAUGUCACCCACAUCCACAGACGCAUGCAGUGUAUCACGUGAUACAACUGAUCCAAUUGGCUAACUUGUGUUCCAUUGUUGAUAUGUUCCAUUGUUUUGUUGAUAUGUUCCAUUGUUGUUAUGUUAA